rnacentral:rRNA from 1 species
UACGUAGGGCGCAAGCGUUGUCCGGAAUUAUUGGGCGUAAAGAGCUCGUAGGCGGCUUGUCACGUCGGAUGUGAAAGCCCGGGGCUUAACCCCGGGUCUGCAUUCGAUACGGGCUAGCUAGAGUGUGGUAGGGGAGAUCGGAAUUCCUGGUGUAGCGGUGAAAUUGCGCAGAUAUCAAGGGAGGAACACCGGUGGCGAAGGCGGAUCUCUGGGCCAUUACUGACGCUGGAGGAGCGAAAGCGUGGGGAGCGAACAGG